rnacentral:rRNA from 1 species
AUAAGCCCACGGGUCGGCAUCGAUCUGAGGGAAAAGGAGCAAUCCGCUUUGAGAUGGCCUCGCGUCCGAUUAGCUAGUUGGUGAGGUAAUGGCCCACCAAGGCGACGAUCGGUAGCCGGACUGAGAGGUUGAACGGCCACAUUGGGACUGAGACACGGCCCAGACUCCUACGGGAGGCAGCAGUGGGGAAUAUUGCACAAUGGGGGAAACCCUGAUGCAGCGACGCCGCGUGGAGGAAGAAGGUCUUCGGAUUGUAAACUCCUGUUGUUGAGGAAGAUAAUGACGGUACUCAACAAGGAAGUGACGGCUAACUACGUGCCAGCAGCCGCGGUAAAACGUAGGUCACAAGCGUUGUCCGGAAUUACUGGGUGUAAAGGGAGCGCAGGCGGGAAGACAAGUUGGAAGUGAAAUCUAUGGGCUCAACCCAUAAACUGCUUUCAAAACUGUUUUUCUUGAGUAGUGCAGAGGUAGGCGGAAUUCCCGGUGUAGCGGUGGAAUGCGUAGAUAUCGGGAGGAACACCAGUGGCGAAGGCGGCCUACUGGGCACCAACUGACGCUGAGGCUCGAAAGUGUGGGUAGCAAACAGGAUUAGAUACCCUGGUAGUCCACACCGUAAACGAUGAUUACUAGGUGUUGGAGGAUUGACCCCUUCAGUGCCGCAGUUAACACAAUAAGUAAUCCACCUGGGGAGUACGACCGCAAGGUUGAAACUCAAAGGAAUUGACGGGGGCCCGCACAAGCAGUGGAGUAUGUGGUUUAAUUCGACGCAACGCGAAGAACCUUACCAAGUCUUGACA